UUUGAGAGAGAGAGAGAGAGCACAAACGGGGAGCGGGAGAGGGAGGAGCAGACUCCCUGCUGAGCAGGGAACCUGAUGGGAGACUCUAUUUGGGGGCCCCAGGAUCAUGACCUGAGCCGACAGCAGAUGCUCAACCCAUUGAGCCAUCCAGGCGCCCCUACCCUUUACUUUUUUUUUUUUCCCUACCCUUUACUUUUAAAAAAUAUUUUAUUUUUAGAGAGUGCAUAGGGUGGAGGGGCAGAGGGAGAGGGAGAGAGAGCAUCUCAGGCAGACUUCGUGCUUAGCCAAAGAGCCUGACUCCAGCUCCAUCUUGUGACUGUGAGAUAAUGACCUGGGCUUAACUGACUAAGCCACCCAGAAACCUCUAUAUUUACUUUUUAAAAACCUUUAUACUUCCUCUCAUGGAUACCCUUUGAAAGAUUUCAUUCAUCUAAUCACACUUAGCCUUCACAAUGAAUUCAUUUUCUCUUUCCUUGUCUUUUCUAAUACUACCGCUCAUAGCUGCUGAGGAACAUGACUUUAAGUUAGCAUCAUACAAUCAAAAAGGAGAACAGAUUUUGGGAUUUAAUCCAGUACACAAGUGUUUGUUGAAUGAAUAAAACUAUUUUUUUAAAAAUGAAAGGAUGAAUGAAUGAAUGAAUGAAUGGCUGUUAGUGAAAUUUCUAGACUCAGGGUAUGACCUGUGAUUAGGGGGACUUAAAAAUAUUCUUAGCUAACCAGAGAUGCGUGUGAGCCUCUGUGUCCUCAGCCGCAGUAAGAAACAAAACCCUCGAAAAGGAAGACAGAAAGAAAAUGGGGCGUAGCAAGGAUUCCGGGUUGGAUUCCAUGACGUCACCCUCAAGUUGGAUGUCUGGGCUGGUAAACAAAGGCUCUUGUGACAUGGGCCCUGGCUGGGCGGCCCACCCGGCCGGCGUGGGGGAGGCAGUUAAAGUGGCUUGCCUCAACCCUGGCCUCCGCCCCGAGCUUUAGCCCAGACGCCUCUGCAUUCAGCAGGUAUCUCGUCCAAGGGAAAACCAGGACAGGAAAUCACGUUGCCAUGGAGACCAGAGAGGCCCUUCCAGACACAGGGGAAAAUAAACACGUUCUGGUUGGACUUAACCCCAACGAAGCCAGGGUAGCCUCACCUCCUAAUCUGAGAGGUCCUGCUUUUCACUAGAAAUAUCCAGGGGCCCCUCCUCCAAGGGCCUCCAGUACCAAGGGCUGUGCAGCCCCUCCAGCCCCUUCAAGCUCUCUGGGAGCAAUGUCACGCAGGGCUGAAGGAGGAAGGCAUUUCUUUUGCCCAGACCUAAGACCUCUGUCUCCUUC
rnacentral:lncRNA from 1 species